CCGGGUAAUCGAAUGAGGAGGGGGAGAUGGGUUGGAUCUGAGUUUGUCCGGGAGAGAUCUGAGCGAGGGAGAAGAGAAGAGUGAGAAAGGGCAGCGGUGGCUGCGACUUGGGGCCUAGGGCUCCAAGAUGGCGUCGCGGUGGUCGCGCGAAUUAGGGAUCCGGGGUUCAGAGAGGUGUCAUCGCUCAAUAGACGCUGAUGGUGACUGAGGUUGAAAGGAGAGUCGAGAGAGGUGGGUGAG
rnacentral:lncRNA from 1 species